GCCCUACGGGGCGCAGCAGUGGGGAAUAUUGCACAAUGGGGGAAACCCUGAUGCAGCGACGCCGCGUGAGUGAAGAAGUAAUUCGUUAUGUAAAGCUCUAUCAGCAGGGAAGAAAAUGACGGUACCUGAGUAAGAAGCCCCGGCUAACUACGUGCCAGCAGCCGCGGUAAUACGUAGGGGGCAAGCGUUAUCCGGAUUUACUGGGUUUAAAGGGUGCGCAGGCGGAGGUGCAAGUCAGUGGUCAAAUUGCGGGGCUCAACCCCGUACUGCCGUUGAAACUGCAUCCCUUGAGUGCGCGAGAAGUA
rnacentral:rRNA from 1 species